rnacentral:rRNA from 1 species
UACAGAGACCUCGAGCAUUAUCCGGAUUUAUUGGGCGUAAAGGGUCCGCAGGUGGUUUUGAAAGUCAUGUGUUAAAUUUCUGGGCUCAACCCAGAAUCUGCGCGUGAUACUUUAAGACUAGAGACUGGGGGAGGUACAUGGAAUUACUGGUGUAGCGGUAAAAUGCGUUAAUAUCAGUAAGAACACCAAAGGCGAAGGCAAUGUACUGGAACAGUUCUGACACUCAGGGACGAAAGCGUGGGGAGCGAAAGGG